ACACCUGUAUUUGGUACCUGUAUACGUAUAUAUAUUUAUAUAUCGAUCGAGACGCACACGUUUUAUACGAUUUCGCGGGUAUAGGUCAGUAGUGCAACACACACAAUAAUUAUUAUACUAUACGUGCAGAUACCCAUUGUAUACGUAUACGUAAUCGUAACACGUACACAUUUAACACGCGUAUAAAUAAUAUAACAGAGAGAUGAUUUUUUUUUUUUUUUUUUUUUUAGCUACCAAUAUACUAAUAUGCCGUUAGGUAUAUAAUAAUCUCGUUUUAAAGUCGGAUUUUCUCUUCGCCAAAUACGUAUUAUAUUAACGCACAUAGGCGUGCGUACGUUUUUUUUGCGAGAAAAUGGUUCGUUAUUAUUUCGUUAUCCCGAGUCUCCCCUAAAGAAUGAAGGAUAUCGUUGUUGACGUGAAAAACCGCCAUUUGUUCAUAGUUUUUGAUUUUGAAGUAUUCCUGGAUUCAGAAAAAAAUAAGCUCAAUCGCGAUCCGGUAUAUUGAUUUACAGUGAACUAUUAUUACAUUGCUAUAAAACAAAACUUAUAUAAUAUUAUCACUAUUACGGUAAACCUCGUACCCGAGUUAAGUGCCUAUACAAUAUCACAGUUCGUGGUCACCGCUCGGUCGGUCUGAUUUAUUUAUUGUACAACGACAGUUUUCCAUACCUCGUCGUGGGUAAGCAUUUACUCUAAACAAAGCCCGGAAUGAGUGAAUUUCGUUUUCAGCCCACGGGCACACCUGGCGCACGCCUAUAUCUUGUUACUAUACAUAUAUCUCUACUGUAUUAUGACUAAUAUUAGGCGAUAUUAGACGAGAUGUA